UACGAGGGGAGCAAGCGUUGUUCGGAUUUACUGGGCGUAAAGGGCGCGUAGGCGGCCACGACAAGUCACUUGUGAAAUCUCCGGGCUUAACUCGGAACGGUCAACUGAUACUGCUCGGCUAGAGUGCGGAAGGGGCAACUGGAAUUCUUGGUGUAGCGGUGAAAUGCGUAGAUAUCAAGAGGAACACCUGCGGCGAAGGCGGGUUGCUGGGCCGACACUGACGCUGAGGCGCGAAAGCUAGGGGAGCGAACGGG
rnacentral:rRNA from 1 species